rnacentral:misc_RNA from 1 species
GGCCUUGAGUGACAAUGGCUUUUUUCAAUUUGAAUACUUCCAUUUGAACGGGUUAGCAACAUGUACAGAAAUAGGCAACCGGAUCCUUUACAUAAUUAUGAAAUCAGUUCGUAAACAAACAAAAGUCUGUGAUGAACAUUUCACCAAGCAUACUCUUAAUUAUUUAAUGAAAAUAGUUUGAAAUAUUCCAGUAUGUGCAUCAGCAUUAGAUAAUGUCAAUUAAGAAUGGUAAUUGUUAAAAUUGGAGGUGAGUUUUAUCAUUGAAUAGCUUUUUCUGGAGUCCUUAAGCAUGGCAAGGAUACCAGUAAUGAGUGUAUCAGCAUCCAUUAAUGAUCCUGUUGCUGUUAUGAAUACUUACUGCUCAUAUGUAUCAAUGUUCAUAGAUCCUGUUGCAAAGGAGGAAAGUAAAUUGAAAGCUUUGCCAGAAUUGAGUGGAGAGCUUGAAACUAUUAUUAGUGAUCCACAAUAUCCUUCAUUUUUGGAUCAGGCUAUAAAAAUUUUCAUCAGAAUUUUAGGAGAUGAAGAACCACAGUUCAUUGCUGAAAAAACCACCCAUUUGCAAAAUGAGGAAAACAUUAGUAGUUUUUAGAAUAAUCAUAGAAUUUCAUAAGGCCACCAUGCAGUGUGGAGGAGCAAUCCAUCUUUCAACAAAGAUGUUGAACAUGUUGACUUUAUGCAUGCAUAGAUAAAAACAUUAUCUUUUCUGGCUUACCUAGUUAGAAUAUAUGAAAAUGUUGUGAAUGAAUAUUCCUCGCAGUUUGCUAAAGGAAUGAUAGGAUUGUUGUGUCUAUGUCCGCAAGAAGUGGCCCACUUGCACAAAGAAUUGCUUGUAGCAGCCCGUCAUAUUUUAGCCACAGAGCUAAGA